CCCUUAGAUGUCCUGGGCCGCACGCGCGUUACACUGAUGCAUUCAACGAGCUUAUAACCUUGGCCGAGAGGCCUGGGCAAUCUUGUUAACGUGCAUCGUGAUAGGGAUAGAUUAUUGAAAUUAUUAAUCUUGAACGAGGAAUUCCUAGUAAACGCAGAUCAUCAAUCUGCAUUGAUUACGUCCCUGCCCUUUGUACACACCGCCCGUCGCACCUACCGAUUGGAUGGUCCGGUGAAGCCUCGGGAUUGUGGUUCUUGCCGCUUUAUUGUGGCGUGACCGCGAGAACUUGUCUAAACCUUAUCAUCUAGAGGAAGGUGAAGUCGUAAUA
rnacentral:rRNA from 1 species